rnacentral:rRNA from 1 species
UUCGCAAUGCCCGAAAGGGUGACGAAGCGACGCCGCGUGUGGGAAGAAGGCCUUCGGGUUGUAAACCACUGUCGGGAGUUAAGAAAUGCAAGGAUGUUAAUAGCGUUUUUGCUUGACUAAGGCUCCGGAGGAAGCCACGGCUAACUCUGUGCCAGCAGCCGCGGUAAUACAGAGGCGGCAAGCGUUGUUCGGAAUUAUUGGGCGUAAAGAGCACGUAGGCGGCUAUAUAAGUCGGUUGUGAAAGCCUUCCGCUCAACGGGAGAACAGCAUCCGAUACUGUGUGGCUUGAGUGUGGGAGGGGAGAGCGGAACUUCUGGUGGAGCGGUGAAAUGCGUAGAUAUCAGAAGGAACGCCGGCGGCGAAAGCGGCUCUCUGGCCCAUAACUGACGCUGAGUGUGCGAAAGCUAGGGGAGCAAACGGGAUUAGAUACCCCGGUAGUCCUAGCCGUAAACGAUGGGCACUAAGUAGAGGGGUUU